CUCACAGAGUCCAGCAGACCGGCCGGCUGCCUCCAAAUAAAGAACGCGUGAGCACGUAGGACACCGAACACAUGGAAAAAAAAAUCUGAUACCAAACCGUAACAGGAUUUUUUGCUGCCAAGUCACAGCAGCAGCAGCAGCAGCGCGGGCACCGCGGCUGGAACCCGCAGCACGGCAGUGCCUCACACCGGGUCACCUCCCUCUCCUGACCCUUUCCAGCAAGCAUGGACAGAGCUACUUCAGUGAGCAUUCCUCUCCACUGGAAGGGGAAAAAAAUGUACAAGGGAGGAUUCAACAUGGAGCUGCCCACAUCCUCUGAGAGACAAAAAUGUGAAGGCUUGAGUAGAAGGCUCAUGAAGAAUGACAGAGACAGAGGCAGUCAGAAGCAUGGAGAUGUAGUUCCUAAAAGGCUGGCAAGGCAUAUGCACCUCCUGGAGAGCAUGGGCAAAGAUUGUCUUGUGAUCUUUAAGUAUUUUGCAGUCUCUCCUCUUUUAAAUCCAUUUUGUUGGAAGUGAGUUUUGCUAAAAACAACAAUGUGCAAAUGCCUUUCUCAGCAUGUCACAACUUUUUUGACCAACCCACAUAGACAAACUGGAGACCUUGAGAACAUACGCUUCCGUUCUAUAUAAACAGUUUAAAAUAGA